rnacentral:rRNA from 1 species
CCUACGGGAGGCAGUAGUGGGGAAUAUUGGGCAAUGGGCGCAAGCCUGACCCAGCAACGCCGCGUGAAGGAAGAAGGCUUUCGGGUUGUAAACUUCUUUUAAGGGGGAAGAGCAGAAGACGGUACCCCUUGAAUAAGCUACGGCUAACUACGUGCCAGCAGCCGCGGUAAUACGUAGGUGGCAAGCGUUGUCCAGAUUUACUGGGUGUAAAGGGCGUGCAGCCGGAGCGACAAGUCAGAUGUGAAAUCCACGGGCUCAACCCGUGAACUGCAUUUGAAACUGUUUCCCUUGAGUGUCGGAGAGGUGAUCGGAAUUCCAUGUGUAGCGGUGAAAUGCGUAGAUAUAAGGAAGAACACCAGUGGCGAAGGCGGAUUACUGGACGAUAACUGACGGUGAGGCGCGAAAGCGUGGGGAGCAAACAGGAUUAGAUACCCUUGUAGUC